rnacentral:rRNA from 1 species
GGACUACUCGGGUUUCUAAUCCUGUUUGAUCCCCACGCUUUCGUGCCUCAGUGUCAAUACAGACUUAGUGAACUGCCUUCGCAAUCGGUGUUCUAUUACAUAUCUAAGCAUUUCACCGCUACAUGUAAUAUUCCAUCCACCUCAAUCUGAUUCAAGCUAAGCAGUAUCAAUGGCAGUUCCGGAGUUGAGCUCCGGGCUUUCACCACUGACUUACAAAGCCACCUACGCACCCUUUAAACCCAGUGAAUCCGGAUAACGCUUGCACCCUCCGUAUUACCGCGGCUGCUGGCAC